rnacentral:rRNA from 1 species
CCCAGACUCCUACGGGAGGCAGCAGUGGGGGAUAUUGCACAAUGGGGGGAACCCUGAUGCAGCGACGCCGCGUGGGUGAAGGAGCGUUUCGGCGCGUAAAGCCCUAUCGGCAGGGAAGAAGGAGGACGGUACCUGACUAAGAAGCCCCGGCUAACUACGUGCCAGCAGCCGCGGUAAUACGUAGGGGGCAAGCGUUAUCCGGAUUUACUGGGUGUAAAGGGGGCGCAGACGGCAGCGCAAGCCAGGGGUGAAAGCCCGGGGCCCAACCCCGGGACUGCUCUUGGAACUGCGCGGCUGGAGUGCAGGAGGGGCAGGCGGAAUUCCUGGUGUAGCGGUGAAAUGCGUAGAUAUCAGGAGGAACACCGGUGGCGAAGGCGGCCUGCUGGACUGCGACUGACGUUGAGGCCCGAAAGCGUGGGGAGCAAACAGGAUUAGAUACCCUAGUAAC